rnacentral:rRNA from 1 species
GACGAACGCUGGCGGCGUGCCUAAUACAUGCAAGUCGAACGCAGUGGGGACGGGUGAGUAACACGUGGGUAACCUCCCAUCAGAGGGGAUAACACUUGGAAACAGGUGCUAAACCGAUACUGAUGGAUGGACCCGCGGUGCAUUAGCUAGUUGGUGAGGUAACGGUUCACCAAGGCCACGAUGCAUAGGCGACCUGCGAGCGGGAGGGGCCCAUCGUGGGAGGGGACACGGCCCAAGAGCCAACGGGAGGCAGCAGUAGGGAAGCGUCGGCAAAUGAAGGAAGUCUGGACGGGCAACGGCGCGGGAGGUAAGAAGGUUUGUGGAUUGUAAAACUCUGUGUUUAGAAGAGCGGUAUCUAACCAGAAAGCCACGGCUAACUCCGUGCCAGCAGCCGCGGUAAUAC